rnacentral:misc_RNA from 1 species
UCCCCGUUGCCGGGGCAGUCUGGCUAGAAAAAUACAACUAACCAUAAGGGUUGCGCUCGUUGAUGGACUUAACCAAACAUCUCACGACACGAGCUGACGACGGCCAUGCAACACCUGUCACUUGGCUCCUUGCGGCACUCUCGGCUUUCGCCAAAAUUCCAAGGAUGUCAAGCCCUGGUAAGGUUCUUCGCUUACCAUCGAAUUAAACAACACGCUCCACCGCUUGUGCGGGUCCCCGUCAAUUCCUUUGAGUUUUAGUCUUGCGACCGUACUCCCCAGGCGGGAUGCUUAACGCGUUAGCUUCGCUACAUACCGGGUCGAUACGGCAUACAGCUAGCAUCCAUAGUUUACGGCGUGGACUAC